rnacentral:rRNA from 1 species
UACGUUCCCGGGUCUUGUACACACCGCCCGUCACACCAUGGGAGCGGGUUCCGCCAGAAGUAGGUAGCCUAACCGCAAGGGGGCGCUUACCACGGCGGGGUUCGUGACUGGGGUG